rnacentral:ncRNA from 1 species
AUUAAGCCAUGCAUGUGUAAGUAUGAACUAAUUCAGACUGUGAAACUACGAAUGGCUCAUUAAAUCAGUUAUAAUUUGUUUGAUGGUACCUGCUACUCAGAUAACCGUAGUAAUUCUAGAGCUAAUACGUACAACAAACCUUGACUUCCGGAAGGGACGCAUUUAUUAAGAUAAAAGGCCGACACGGGCUCGUCCCGCAAACCGAUGAUUCACACAAAUGGUCAACAAUUCAUUGAUUGACCAUUUGUCUUUAUGUGUGUUGUAAGAGAUCUGAAAUGAUCCAUAUUUAGAUGGCAAGGAGUUCAAAAUAAGAUGUAUCAAGAAUGAAUCAGAGAUGGUUACUUCAAGUGCAGUAAGCU